AUUGAACGCUGGCGGCAUGCUUUACACAUGCAAGUCGAACGGUAACAGGCCGCAAGGUGCUGACGAGUGGCGAACGGGUGAGUAAUGCAUCGGAACGUGCCCAGUCGAGGGGGAUAACUACUCGAAAGAGUAGCUCAUACCGCAUACGAUCUAUGGAUGAAAGCGGGGGACCGUAAGGCCUCGCGCGAUUGGAGCGGCCGAUGUCAGAUUAGGUAGUUGGUGGGGUAAAGGCUCACCAAGCCAACGAUCUGUAGCUGGUCUGAGAGGACGACCAGCCACACUGGAACUGAGACACGGCCCAGACUCCUACGGGAGGCAGCAGUGGGGAAUUUUGGACAAUGGGCGCAAGCCUGAUCCAGCAAUGCCGCGUGCAUGAAGAAGGCCUUCGGGUUGUAAACUGCUUUUGUACGGAACGAAACGGCGCUGGUUAAUACCCGGGGCUAAUGACGGUACCGUAAGAAUAAGCACCGGCUAACUACGUG
rnacentral:rRNA from 1 species